rnacentral:lncRNA from 1 species
AGUCCAAUCCAAGACGUCGUCGAAGGGCUUGGCGUAGUGGUCCUUGAGCAGCAGCGGAACGCAGCCCAUGUAAAUGGCCUCCACCAUUCUGGGGCUGGCCACCUCCCAGCCGCUGGGGCAGAUGCAGUACUUGCUCCUCCUCAUCAUCCCGUAGUACGACAUGCUCUUCGGGAGAUACUUGUGCACUUGAACCUCCUUGUCUCUGUUUCUCCACUUCUCCAUCAGGACCUCCCUGAUGUACCCGUGGAUGCCUCCCGCGUAGAACACUAGGAUGGACCGGUUCUCCGCCCCCGGCCCUCCGAUCAACCCCUCCGUCGUGCCCUCCGGGAGGUGUAUCUCCGGCAUCGACACGUCCGUCUCCGGCUUGAACCCUUCCGAGGUGUUGGCGUUGCACAGCACCCUUAUCGAGUUCUUGUAUAGGUGCGCCACACCGCGAGAGACCGUCGGCGUCUGCACCAUUAUUCAUGUUGUGUUACGAGUUAGAACACAAAGCAAUUGAAAGGUUAGUGGUUACCCAAUCAUGGCAGCCGAUGAUGAAGUGGUCGUGUCCGAGAGUUCGAUUCCAGUAAGGGUGGUUGGUGGAGAUGAGGUUGAUGUAGUCUCUUGCGAUGUUCUGCAGGGGAUCCCAAGCGCGGUUGUGUCUAACAUAAGCGUAGGCGACGAUGGACUGCACGCUGAGUGGUACCAAGAAAAGGUGGGCCUUUUGAGGGUCUCGGGUUCGGAACUUGCUGAUCUCCAUCUGGUGAAUGAUGAUGCCUUCGAUUCCGAGGAUCCCCAGGCUCUUGCUGUAGUGGAACAGUGGCGGCUCUCCCUCCUCGUAUAUGUAGAACCUCAAUGUAUUCUCCAUUUCCAAGUAGCUCCUACACCACAUUCAUGUCAUGAUGUGUACAAUCAUCAACAAUAUGUAUGUUUUGUUUGUGAAUAUUAAUUGAUGUAGUAUAUAAUAUGGACCUGUGGAAAGCGUUGGGAUUCCUGUAGAAUGGACCUUGUGGAACGUAGUCAGCGUCGUCUGAUGAUUCGUUGCUGCGUUGAGCUUCAUGGAUGUUUGCUCGAGCUUUUGCUAAGCUCGCCUCCACCAUGUCUAGUUUGUCUGAAUCCAUGUGUUUUCUCAUGCUCUCCACAACCUGCCAUAUUUUCGCAGAAAUUCAGUAUUUUCUGAGCAAGGAUGUCCGAAUAUCCAGAAUUCUGAGAAUAUCCAAAGCUUUUUAGAGGUUCAGUUACGUGCAUCGAUGAUUUCAAUCGAAAUUUAGCAACUAAUUAAAUAAGUAGAGCAUUAAUUACCGGUGGCGGCGGCGGCGGCGGCGGCUGAUCCUCCACAAUAGUGGUGGCAGAAGCAGGCGUGUAGCUUAGUGGUUGAGGCGGCCAUGAAAAGGAGGCAGAAGGCUUCUGGUUGAGUAAAAUCACAAGGGCAGACAGCAUGAGUAACGGAAUGAGUACAAAAUAGACGAGCUUCGGUGAAGAAGAAAACGAGGAGGGAUCCGCCAUCUUUAAUUGUCGUCGUCUUCCUCCUUCGCGUGUCGCGGUUACCUUAAUAUCAAACUAAAUGGAGGCGAGUGUGUUAUGUUUCAUCUUUCCCAUGAAUUCGGCAUGUGUGUGGGGAAAGGAGUCAAACGACCUGUAUUUCCUUGCAGUCUGAGCUACCCAUCGCCAUUUUCGUCAAAUUUCAAUGCUCUAACAGGACAAACGAGAGUGACGUGGCUAUUAAUUUAGUGGAGUAUAUUUUUUUUGUUUAACAAGGGACGAUAUAUCAGUUCUAAAAAAACAAGGGACGAUAUUUGUUCAAUCAAUACGUCAAACAGGGCCCAUUAUCGUAAUUUUACAAGGGAUGCGUGGGUGGAGUAUCAAGGCAUUUUGGUAAUAAAAUGUGGUCCACAGUGUCUUAAUUAGUUUUUGUAGCAAUUAGCAAUACAACACACACGACAUAUACAGAGACAUCACGUUUCAUUGGAAUAAAACCAUGGUAAUCUUGUUAGACAUGAAUAUUUGAAAUGUAUCUAGUAAAUAUUUUUUUAUAUACUAGGAGAAAGAACGUAUGUUAUACGUGUAAUUAAUAUUAUUUUAAUUGAUAAAUUAUUAUUAUAAAAAUCUAUUAAUUUAUUAUUUUGAUUAGAUAAUUUAUUGGAUGGAUGUAAUUAUUUAUAAGCCUUAUCAAUAACUAUAGAUAUAAAGUAUUCUUUAUAGAUUUGGGUGACAAAUAAAUGUUUAUCAAAAUAGAUUUGUAUUUUAUAAAUAUAAUAACAAAUGUAUAAUAGGGGUAAAAUAAGCAAUCCACAAGUUGUCUUAAACUGCCUUAGGUUUUUUUUUCUAUUAGUAUAAAUAUAAAGUAUUCUUUAUAGAUUUGGGUGACAAAUAAAUGUAUAUCAAAAUAGAUUUAUAUUUUAUAAAUAUAAUAACUAAUACUCAUAUAACAGGGGUAAAAUAGACAAUCCACAAGUUGUGCCUUAAACUGUCUUAGGAUCUUUUUCUAUUAGCAUAAAUAUACAAUAUGCGAGCCUUUUGAAUCCUUAUGUUCCCCGUUGUAUUUAGAGGGUGUUUGGCUAAACUUAUUUUAAAGAGCUUAUAAUAUGUUUUAAGAGCUUAUAAGAUGUAAUUUUUAAGAGCUUAUGUUGGGAACCUUGUGGAAUAUCCUAAUCCUUGUUUUGAUGAUACCAAAUUUCAUAGGUCGUAUUUGUAAUAGACUAGAAUUGUUUUUGAACUCAAGUGUUAGAGUUCGGUUCUAGUUUAGCUUGCGGUGUCGAAGACUGAAGACUGAAGACUGAAGAACGAAUGACUGAAGACUGAAGACUGCAGAUACCAACUGAAGUAUCAGUUGAAGAAUCAGUUAGGAACUGAUUACUUAAUGCGCGCAAUGGACUGAUACUAAAGUCAAGUAUCAGUUGAACAUUCCUCAUCGGACUGAUCUUCCAACGUUCAGAGGAAGCCACAUACUCACAAAGUACAGCCGCAUUAAAUGCAGAGAUCUCAGGAUCUUAUCUCUGCAGAUGUCAUUCCUAUCUGGUGGUUACUUUUCAGAGACGUCACAUCUCCUGUCCAUCAAGAGAGUCGUUUCCACCCAGACAAGGAACCUCGAAGAUUGAAGCCUCAGCCCAAAUUCGAAUUGCUCUCCAACGGAAGAAAUCUUGAUGACGUUCUACGCCAACGGAUCUAUUCAAGAGUUCUCCUACAAAUAGCGCUCGAGGAUCACUUCAACCUUCACCGAUUCAACGACAUAAGCUGAAGCUCUGCCGAAAUUGCUACUCAGCCUAAAGCUUAACCUCCCCAAAGCUUGAAUCAAAGAAGAGAAUUCCAAAGUCAAAAUCAGUCACUGCUGAUUACACAUAUUCUCUUAGACCUUAGGCAAACCUCUGUUUACCCAGAAGCCAAAGGUCAAACUUGCUUCAAAGAACUUGUUCUUUAUAGUAUAGUUGGCACUCGUUCAAACCUCCCCCCCCCCAAAACGAGUGUUUGAGUGAUUCGGAGUUCAGGAAGGUACUCUGACUCUGAGUGAGAAGUCUUAGCACGGGUUGUGCUAAGCAAGAGAAAUCCGACGCGAGUGAAGCGUGGGUACUGAAGAAGGGUUUUCUUCAGUGGUACGGUUGUGUGCACUCGGCAAGUACACGGUUUGGUUUGCAGUGCACCUGUUAAGCACUUGCGGAGUGGAUUGUUGGUCUGAUCAACCGACCGUGGAUGUAGGAAAAGGGUUUUUCCGAACCACGUAAAAGUCUCUGUGUUGUUUACAGCUUUCAGUUUUAUAUUCUUACUUGUGUUAUUUCAAUUGAUAAACUGAAUACUGAUUAACUGCAAAGAGAAACCUAAAGACAAACAACGUGCUCCACCGAGGCUAUUGCGAAACUAAAUUUAAUUUCCGCUGCGUAUGAUAUUAGUCUGACUGAUCUAUCUUCUGAUAGUCAGGAAGAGUGUUAUCAACUUUGUUUUAGCAAACUCGACUGAAGCCCUUACGUGCAUCAGUUAAGUUCCAGCAACUUAACUGAUAACUCCCUACUGAAGAGUUUUCAGUAUCAGUCGCCAACCCUGUUUGGUCAAAACUGUUUUCAGUUGAACAGGUGUCUUUGUUUGAGUGUAAAGUUUCGUUUAGACCUCUGUCUGAGAUCCCUCUGAUUGAGGAGUUUUUAAAAAUAGCCCAUAGGUGUAUUCCCCCCCUCCCAUGCAGCUAUUCGAGACCCUCAGGACCUAACAGCUUAUAAGUUGUCAAAGUGUUUGGAUAAUUGAGCUUAUAAGCUAGAGAGAGAAUUUUUUUGCUAGAGAGAGAAAAUAUUUUUUUAGAGAGAAAAUCGAAGAAAAAUAAACUUAAAUGAUAAAUGAUGGAAAUAAUAAAUCAUAGUUGAAAAAUAUUUAUAAAAAGAUUGUUGCAUAUAUGAGAUUAUAAGAAAAUAAGUUGGGGUAGAAGAACUUAUUUUUUGGGGAGCUUAUAAGCUCUUGGAGCUUAUUUUUGGAGCUUAUAAGCUGUUGAGGAGCUUAUUUUGCCAAACACUUUGAAGGAGCUUAUAAGCUCUUAAACAGCUUAUAACCUGUUUUGAGGAGCUUAUAAGCUCAGCCAAAAACACCCACUUAGUUUCACUAAUUUCAUAUAUGCUAGCCAGAACACUCAAUUUUAUACAGUUUUUAAUAUUUAUAACAUGUCAAUUUUAUUGAAAAUUGAGGUUUUGAUAAUUAUUUUGUGUUUGAAUUGCUUUAUAUCGUGUGAAAUAUUAUAUUUACUCGUACUUCAAUUAAUUUUGCAAAAAUAUUGAAGCUGCUAGGAAUAGUGGUUUGACUAAAAAUUGUAGAUCAUCCCGAUACGAGUUUGUGGGCGCAAACGAAUUGCGAAUCAAGGUUCAAACGAAGAAGAUAUGACCGAAACAAGAAAGUCGCGCCUAAUAGUUAAUAGGGGUCGUCGAUUUUUGGAAGUACCAAAGAACGACUUCGGUGAUCGCCGAUAUAGUUGUCGAUUUCUAUGUUUUCUAGCGUAAAACGGAAAUCGUUGAUUUUUUAAGUUCUAAUUAAAUAUUAUCUAAAAAAAUUUAGCAGUACUAAUUAAAUACUAUCUUCGUCCUGCAUAUAUAGGCGUAUUGAAAUUUACACAAGUAUUAAGAAAAAUUAUUGAAAUUUGGUGUUAAUGAGCAUGAUGGAGUUGUACAUUGAUUCUUCUAAGCCACACAGAAUGAAGAAUCAUGUGGAACACAUCAUAGCGUUUAGGGGGGAAAUUGACCUCAAAAUGGCGCCUCACUUUGACACCAUUCCUCUGCAUCUCCACAUAGCGGUCUGGUGGAAUAGCUUUCAAAAUGUUCUUCAAGUUAGGAAUAUCCUUGACCUCCACCUCAACGCCAAACUUAGUCCAAUCCAAGACGUCGUCGAAGGGCUUGGCGUAGUGGUCCUUGAGCAGCAGCGGAACGCAGCCCAUGUAAAUGGCCUCCACCAUUCUGGGGCUGGCCACCUCCCAGCCGCUGGGGCAGAUGCAGUACUUGCUCCUCCUCAUCAUCCCGUAGUACGACAUGUUCUUCGGGAGAUACUCGUGCACUUGAACCUCCUUGUCUCUGUUUCUCCACUUCUCCAUCAGCACCUCCCUGAUGUACCCGUGGAUGCCUCCCGCGUAGAACACUAGGAUGGACCGCUUCUCCGCCCCCGGCCCUCCGAUCAACCCCUCCGUCGUGCCCUCCGGGAGGUGUAUCUCCGGCAUCGACACGUCCGUCUCCGGCUUGAACCCUUCCGAGGUGUUGGCGUUGCACAGCACCCUUAUCGAGUUCUUGUAUAGGUGCGCCACACCGCGAGAGACCUUCGGCGUCUGCACCAUUAUUGUUGUGUUACGAGUUGGAACACAAAGCAAUUGAAAGGUUAGUGGUUACCCAAUCAUGGCAGCCGAUGAUGAAGUGGUCGUGUCCGAGAGUUCGAUUCCAGUAAGGAUGGUUGGUGGAGAUGAGGUUGAUGUAGUCUAUUGCGAUGUUCCGCAGGGGAUCCCAAGCGCGGUUGUGUAUAACAUAAGCGUAGGCGACGAUGGACUGCACGCUGAGUGGUACCAAGAAAAGGUGGGCCUUUUGAGGGUCUCGGGUUCGGAACUUGCUGAUCUCCAUCUGGUGAAUGAUGAUGCCUUCGAUUCCGAGGAUCCCCAGGCUCUUGCUGUAGUGGAACAGUGGCGGCUCUCCCUCCUCGUAUAUGUAGAACCUCAAUGUAUUCU